rnacentral:rRNA from 1 species
CUACGGGCCGCUGCAGCGAGGAAUUUUGCGCAAUGGGGGGAACCCUGACGCAGCAACGCCGCGUGAGUGAUGAAGGCUUUCGGGUCGUAAAGCUCUGUCAAGUGGGAAGAACCUAUGCAGUGUUAAUAUCACUGUAUACUGACGGUACCACUGAAGGAAGCACCGGCUAACUCCGUGCCAGCAGCCGCGGUAAUACGGGGGGUGCAAGCGUUAUUCGGAAGCAUGGGGCGUAAAGGGCACGUAGGCGGCUUGGUAAGUCAGAUGUGAAAGCCCGGGGCUUAACCCCGGAAGUGCAUUUGAUACUGUCAGGCUUGAGUAUGGGAGAGGGAAGUGGAAUUCCUGGUGUAGAGGUGAAAUUCGUAGAUAUCAGGAGGAACACCGGUGGCGAAGGCGACUCCCUGGACCAAUACUGACGCUGAGGUGCGAAGGCGUGGGUAGCAAACAGGAUUAGAUACCCUAGUAGUC